AUACGUAGGGGGCGAGCGUUGUCCGGAAUGAUUGGGCGUAAAGGGCGCGUAGGCGGCCCGGUAAGUCUGGAGCGAAAGUCCUGUUUUUAAGAUGGGAAUUGCUUUGGAUACUGUCGGGCUUGAGUGCAGGAGCGGUAAGUGGAAUUCCCAGUGUAGCGGUGAAAUGCGUAGAGAUUGGGAGGAACACCAGUGGCGAAGGCGACUUACUGGACUGUAACUGACGCUGAGGCGCGAAAGUGUGGGGAGCAAACAGGAUUAGAUACCCUGGUAGUCCACACUGUAAACGAUGAAUGCUAGGUGUAGGGGGUAUCGACCCCUUCUGUGCCGCAGUCAACACAAUAAGUAUUCCGCCUGGGGAGUACGGCCGCAAGGUUGAAACUCAAAUGAAUUGACGGGG
rnacentral:rRNA from 1 species